rnacentral:rRNA from 1 species
CCUACGGUAGGCAGCAGUGAGGAAUAUUGGUCAAUGGGCGAGAGCCUGAACCAGCCAAGUCGCGUGAGGGAGUACUGCCCUAUGGUUUGUAAACCUCUUUUGUCGGGGAGCAAAAGCCGGACGUGUCCGGCUGUGCGAGUACCCGAAGAAAAAGCAUCGGCUAACUCCGUGCCAGCAGCCGCGGUAAUACGGAGGAUGCGAGGGUUAUCCGGAUUUAGUGGGGUUAAAGGGUGCGCAGGCGGAUGUUAAAGUUAGCGGUCAAAUCGUGGGGCUCAACCCCAUCCAGCCGUUGAAACUGGGGAUCUAGAGUGUGCGAGAGGGAUGCAGAAUGCGUGGUGUAGCGGUGAAAUGCAUAGAUAUCACGCAGAACCCCGAUUGCGAAGGCAGCAUACCGGUGCAAAACUGACGCUCAGGCACGAAAGCGUGGGUAUCGAACAGGAUUAGAUACCCCUGUAGUC